UUCAAGAGUCUAAGUACAGAAUCUACAUUCCAAAAUUUGGUUUCACGUGUAAAUAUAUAUAAUAAUAGAAAAUAUGCUCUAUAAAUUUGAUCAAUAUAUAGACUUAAUUGUUACUCCCUCAGUCCCAUCCGAUUGGUAACAUUCGAGAGAGAAGGUUCAACAUGUAUUUCUAAAACAACCAAUAUUUAAGCAAGUUGCAUACCUUCAUCGCGUUUUAUAAUAGCAGUAUGCAGAGCUGUCUGAUUUUCAUGCCCAAUGUCUUUUUUGGCUUGGUAACUUCUCUUGAGAUCUUCAGCUAAUAUCGUCUCAACCACUUCAAAUUGAAAUUCUCGAACUGACAGGCUUAAGACAGUGUCAUAUUUCUGCACUAUAGUAGUAGUAAUAUACUACUACAUACCUCUUGGGAAGUUGAUAAUAGCAGUGUGCAAAGCAGUUGAAGUAUCAUCAGGACCAUCUAGAGGUACACUAUCUUUCCAGGA